UGAAAGAAAAAAAAAUCAGAAGCAAAACUAAACUUGGGUGCUAUUAUUCCAAAGGAUAUCAAACUAAAGUGCAGUUUAGCAGAAACAUCCCUAUUUAGGUACCCCUACAAAUGGUACUCAUACAUGGGUACCGAAUUAGGGAGCUACCUAUUAAACAAAGCUGAAUCAUCAAAAUCAUCUUUUUUAAUUUGUAAAAAAAUUUUUCUCAGUUGUUUAGUUAUCACAUAAGGGAGAUACCCGUUAAACAGCUCCCUAAAUUAAUAUUCUUAGGCCUGGCAAUCCAACAUAAC